UACAGAGGUGGCAAGCGUUGUUCGGAAUUACUGGGCGUAAAGGGCGCGUAGGCGGCUCGACAAGUCCCGCGUGAAAGCCCCCGGCUCAACUGGGGAACUGCGCGGGAAACUGUCGGACUUGAGUUCGGGAGAGGGAAGCGGAAUUCCGGGUGUAGCGGUGAAAUGCGUAGAUAUCCGGAGGAACACCCGUGGCGAAGGCGGCUCUCUGGAACGGUACUGACGCUGAGACGCGAAAGCGUGGGGAGCGAACAGG
rnacentral:rRNA from 1 species